GGUCUUAGCUUGCUAAGGCUGAUGGCGACCGGCGCACGGGUGAGUAACACGUAUCCAACCUGCCGUCUACUCUUGGCCAGCCUUCUGAAAGGAAGAUUAAUCCAGGAUGGCAUCAUGAGUUCACAUGUCCGCAUGAUUAAAGGUAUUUUCCGGUAGACGAUGGGGAUGCGUUCCAUUAGAUAGUAGGCGGGGUAACGGCCCACCUAGUCAACGAUGGAUAGGGGUUCUGAGAGGAAGGUCCCCCACAUUGGAACUGAGACACGGUCCAAACUCCUACGGGAGGCAGCAGUGAGGAAUAUUGGUCAAUGGGCGAUGGCCUGAACCAGCCAAGUAGCGUGAAGGAUGACUGCCCUAUGGGUUGUAAACUUCUUUUAUAAAGGAAUAAAGUCGGGUAUGCAUACCCGUUUGCAUGUACUUUAUGAAUAAGGAUCGGCUAACUCCGUGCCAGCAGCCGCGGUAAUACGGAGGAUCCGAGCGUUAUCCGGAUUUAUUGGGUUUAAAGGGAGCGUAGAUGGAUGUUUAAGUCAGUUGUGAAAGUUUGCGGCUCAACCGUAAAAUUGCAGUUGAUACUGGAUGUCUUGAGUGCAGUUGAGGCAGGCGGAAUUCGUGGUGUAGCGGUGAAAUGCUUAGAUAUCACGAAGAACUCCGAUUGCGAAGGCAGCCUGCU
rnacentral:rRNA from 1 species